rnacentral:rRNA from 1 species
UACGAAUGGGGCAAGCGUUGUUCGGAAUCACUGGGCUUAAAGCGUGCGCAGGCGGCUAUGAAAGUCAGGAGUGAAAUCCCCGGGCUCAACCCGGGAAUUGCUUUUGAAACUCCAUAGCUAGAAUACUGGAGAGGUUAGCAGAAUUCCGAGUGUAGAGGUGAAAUUCGCAGAUAUUCGGAGGAAUACCAAUGGCGAAGGCAGCUAACUGGACAGUCAUUGACGCUCAGGCACGAAAGCGUGGGUAGCAAACAGG